GACGAACGCUGGCGGCGUGCUUAACACAUGCCAGUCGAACGGAAAGGCCCUGCUUUUGUGGGGUGCUCGAGUGGCGAACGGGUGAGUAACACGUGAGUAACCUGCCCUUGACUUUGGGAUAACUUCAGGAAACUGGGGCUAAUACCGGAUAGGAGCUCCUGCUGCAUGGUGGGGGUUGGAAAGUUUCGGCGGUUGGGGAUGGACUCGCGGCUUAUCAGCUUGUUGGUGGGGUAGUGGCUUACCAAGGCUUUGACGGGUAGCCGGCCUGAGAGGGUGACCGGAAACAAUGGGACUGAGAUAAGGCCCAGACUGCUACGGGAGGCAGCAGUGGGGAAUAUUGCACAAUGGGCGGAAGCCUGAUGCAGCAACGCCGCGUGCGGGAUGACGGCCUUCGGGUUGUAAACCGCUUUAGCCUGUGACGAAGCGCGAGUGACGGUAAUGGGUAAAGAAGCACCGGCUAACUACGUG
rnacentral:rRNA from 1 species